rnacentral:rRNA from 1 species
AUUGAACGCUGGCGGCAUGCCUUACACAUGCAAGUCGAACGGUAACGGGCCUUCGGGUGCCGACGAGUGGCGAACGGGUGAGUAAUGUAUCGGAACGUACCUUUCAGUGGGGGAUAACGUAGCGAAAGUUACGCUAAUACCGCAUAUUCUGGGAGCAGGAAAGCAGGGGAUCGCAAGACCUUGCGCUGAUUGCGCGGCCGAUAUCAGAUUAGCUAGUUGGUGAGGUAAAGGCUCACCAAGGCGACGAGCUGUAGCGGGUCUGAGAGGAUGAUCCGCCACACUGGAACUGAGACACGGUCCAGACUCCUACGGGAGGCAGCAGUGGGGAAUUUUGGACAAUGGGGGCAACCCUGAUCCAGCCAUGCCGCGUGAGUGAAGAAGGCCUUCGGGUUGUAAAGCUCUUUCGGCCGGGAAGAAAUCGUAUCAGCUAAUACCUGGUGCGGAUGACGGUACCGGCAUAAGAAGCACCGGCUAACUACGUGCCAGCCGCCGCGGUAAUAC